rnacentral:pre_miRNA from 1 species
UCGUUCUUAGUUUUAGACGUGUUUUGGUGUGUUUGGGGAGAUUAAUUCCGAUUGAAACCGUCCAAAACUGAGGCUGAC